rnacentral:misc_RNA from 1 species
AGAAGUUUUGAUGCCCCUACUGCUUAUGAAAUAGAAGUCAAUAAAACUAAAGCCAUACCAGAGAUAAGUUCUGAUCCAUGUGCAAAGGCAGCCAAAAAGUUUAAGCAGGAUGUUGCUGGUUUCAUUCAGAACACUGUUCCUGAUUUGAUAUCGUCUCAAAGAGGUGGAGUCCCAGCAGAAUCAUGUGGAGGAAGUCAAUCUAUUGUUCAAAAAAGGAACUCGAAAGGUGAUGGUACCCUCGAAGCAAAUGGAUGCCUGAAGGAUGGUAAAGCAAAGCAUGCUGGAUCAGCAAGUGUUUUAUGUGGCAUUGACUCUAGUAUCAAGGAUCUGUUGCCUCAAAGAAUGAGUUCAGACAAGAAGUUCAAAAAUAUUGGAAGUAGCAGUAAUUGUUGUCCUGAACAGGGAAUAUCAAGUGACUCAUCCCUGCGUGUGAUUCAGCAGGAUUCUCGCACUUGUGGCUCCAAAGGUGACCUGGAUUAUAAUCUUCCACGAGAUCUGCAAAAUGGCGAACCUUCUAAUGCAGACAAAGAGAAUAUUGAGCAAAGUCGUGAAUCUGAGUUCUCUAGUGAUACUGAUGAGUAUCACUAUGAGAGUACUGCUCUUGCUUCACAUAAAAAUGAUUUUUUGAACUUGCAAUACGCUCAGGGUGAAGAUUCUUUGGCAAUUAUUGACUGUACAGAGCUUAAUCUUUGUGUGAAGUGUAACAAGGGGGAAAAUUUAUUAGUUUGUAGUUCUGAUACUUGCUCUUUGGUGGUUCAUGAAAGUUGCUUGGUUUCUGCACCCAACUUUGAUUACAAAGGAAGCUUCUAUUGCCCCUUUUGUGCAUAUU